rnacentral:rRNA from 1 species
UGGGGAAUUUUGGACAAUGGGCGAAAGCCUGAUCCAGCAAUGCCGCGUGUGUGAAGAAGGCCUUCGGGUUGUAAAGCACUUUUGUCCGGAAAGAAAUCCUUGGCUCUAAUACAGUCGGGGGAUGACGGUACCGGAAGAAUAAGCACCGGCUAACUACGUGCCAGCAGCCGCGGUAAUACGUAGGGUGCAAGCGUUAAUCGGAAUUACUGGGCGUAAAGCGUGCGCAGGCGGUUUGCUAAGACCGAUGUGAAAUCCCCGGGCUCAACCUGGGAACUGCAUUGGUGACUGGCAGGCUAGAGUAUGGCAGAGGGGGGUAGAAUUCCACGUGUAGCAGUGAAAUGCGUAGAGAUGUGGAGGAAUACCGAUGGCGAAGGCAGCCCCCUGGGCCAAUACUGACGCUCAUGCACGAAAGCGUGGGGAGCAAACAGGAUUAGAUACCCUGGUAGUCCACGCCCUAAAACGAUGUCAACUAGUUGUUGGGGGAUUCAUUUCCUUAGUAACGUAGCUAACGCGUGAAGUUGACCGCCUGGGGAGUACGGUCGCAAGAUUAAAACUCAAAGGAAUUGACGGGGUCAUAGCUGUUUUUCU